UUCCUGCGUAAAGCUAAUCUGCGCAGGGUUAGCCGGCCCCUAAGGCGAGGCAGAAAUGCGUAGUCGAUGGGAACCAGGUCAAUAUUCCUGGGCCGGGAGGUGGUGACGAAUUCCGUAUAUGGUUAGUCCUUAUUGGAUUGGACUAGCUGAGAAGGAGUUCCAGGAAAUAGCCCCUCCAUAACGACCGUACCCUAAACCGACACAGGUGGACAGGUAGAGUAUACUAAGGCGCUUGAGA
rnacentral:rRNA from 1 species